UUUGUCUUGAGCUCGGAGAGAGACAUCUCUGGGGAGGACCAGUGUAGACACUCAGGAGGCUCCUAAAAUAUUUUCUCUGCUGUGAAUGCUAUUUCUCCUGCCUGCGCUUAAGUGCGCGGUUGGUGGGUGUUCUGCAGUGGGGGGAGGGAGCCGACAAAGACCUGGGAGUGUGCGUGGAUCUCUCUAUUCCAAAGGAGGUGUUUUAUCACACGACUCGACACUUUCUAAUUACUACACACAGUGGAGUUUACUUUACUACUAUUCUUUUGUUCGUUGGGGGAAAGCUCUCUUUCGGGGGGGAGUUCUCCCAGUGGAUGCAAACACAAACAAAUAUUUUUUUAAACUAAUUCAGUCAACACAAGAUUUCUUUUAGUAGAAAACAACUUCAAAACUUUCAACAAUGGAUCUCUUGGUUCUCGCAUCGAUGAAGAACGCAGCGAAAUGCGAUACGUAAUGUGAAUUGCAGAAUUCCGUGAAUCAUCGAAUCUUUGAACGCACAUUGCGCCCUCUGGUAUUCCGGGGGGCAUGCCUGUUUGAGCGUCAUUUCCUUCUCAAACACGUUGUGUUUGGUAGUGAGUGAUACUCUCGUUUUUGAGUUAACUUGAAAUUGUAGGCCAUAUCAGUAUGUGGGACACGAGCGCAAGCUUCUCUAUUAAUCUGCUGCUCGUUUGCGCGAGCGGCGGGGGUUAAUACUGUAUUAGGUUUUACCAACUCGGUGUUGAUCUAGGGAGGGAUAAGUGAGUGUUUUGUGCGUGCUGGGCAGACAGACGUCUUUAAGUUUGACCUCAAAUCAGGUAGGGUUACCCGCUGAACUUAAGCAUAUCAAUAAGCGGAGGAAAAGAAACCAACUGGGAUUGCCUUAGUAACGGCGAGUGAAGCGGCAAAAGCUCAAAUUUGAAAUCUGGUACCUUUGGUGCCCGAGUUGUAAUUUGGAGAGUACCACUUUGGGACUGUACUUUGCCUAUGUUCCUUGGAACAGGACGUCAUGGAGGGUGAGAAUCCCGUGUGGCGAGGGUGUCAGUUCUUUGUAAAGGGUGCUCGAAGAGUCGAGUUGUUUGGGAAUGCAGCUCUAAGUGGGUGGU
rnacentral:rRNA from 1 species